GAGGCAGCGAUUUUACUUUUUCAGUUGAAGUAAAUCACUGCGUCGGCAGCGAUUUUACCGUUUUGAUUUAUAUAAAAUUUUAUAUACCGUUUUGGAAUUUUUGUUAAUAUUUUUUACCCUUUGAGUUUCGGACUCUACUUUGUUUGCUACAUUCCAUGCAUAUUUAGCGAUGGCAGUUGCAUCCCCCUAAUCUCGCUUAUCACUCCCCUCAUUAUAACAUGUAGCUAUGAAUCAUAAUUAAUAGACUAUAGUUAUGAAACGUAAUUAAAUUAUUUUUGAGUGAUUUUACGUGAAAGUUUCCUAUUAAUAUAGAGUUAUAUUAACCGAACAUACAAUGAGAAUUGAGAAAUUUAUUAAGAGCAGUAUUGUCACUGUUUUAAUUAUCUGAGUUCUCGUAUUUUGUUUGUACAACAAUAUGGUUGUUGAAAUGUUAACAAAUUGCUCUGUAAUUUUCUUUCAAAAGAGAGAGGGUGAAAUGGUUGUUGAGAUGUUAUACUCAAAUUCACCAAGGAAUUCUUGCUUCAAGAUUAAAAAAAAGGCCAAGUAGAGUAAUAUAAAAGAGAGCCAAAACAAGAAACAAAGAUAUAUACAUAAUAUUCCUCCUGUUGUAACUAUAUAUCAUCAAUCAAUUGGUAAGAAACACUAAUGACAUUCUUUUUUUUUCUUUGUAUCAUCUUAUUAAUUCCACAUGUCCUUAAAGUUUUGAACCAAGAUCAUGCAUAUGCCAACUCACUAAGAAAAAUGCCUAGUUUGAUUGCAGGCAGGAAUUAGUAAACAACCUGACUAGGCUCAGCUCAGUUCAUCCAACAAACAGGUACCUCCAAUCUACACUUAUUUUCAAUUAUUACUCUGCAUUUGCUCAUUUCAAUGUUUUAUUGGGUAAAAAAUCAGAUGUAGAGUCUCAUCAACCAAUUCACCUCAAUUUGAUGAAUUAAAAACUACCUUCAAAAAGUUCCAUGUUAAAAACUUAACAAAUUAGACUAUUAACAAGUUAGAAUAUUUGUCCUAGCCAACCUAACUUUGGAAGGAAAAAGAAAAUAAAAAGAAGAGGUGAUUUAGAUUGGAGUUCCUCUCAGACAAAUGCCUCGUUUUGUCUUCACACUUUUUAAAAGAAUGGAUAUCAGACUCGUCAUCUGUGUUUGUUCAUCACUGAGGAACUCACAAAACCACCAUAACUAGACAAAAUCAAAACAUAGAAAAGCACAAGACACUACCAGUAUGAACUCAAUUCUCAGCAGGUAUAGAGAUGAAGAAAAAGUAUAAGAAAGCAGUGUAUUUAUUAUAGGUCAUGAGUGGUUUAGCGUUAGGGUUUUGCACAGCCACAAGGGGCUUUAAAAAAUCAUAUGGGCCGGGAUUGAGUAGGUAGCUGAACUUGCAACUUGUGGCCUUUUCUGAUUCUGUUUGAACAAAAUUACAAACAUAGUCCCUUAAGUUUGACGAAAAGUUCCAAAUAUGGUCCCUUAGGUUUGAUGCCUUUUAACUCACAACUUAGAAUUGAAAGUGAAUAUGCUCCCCGAGAACUUAUUUUGCUCUCUUGAUGACUCAAACUCAUAAUUUAGGGUUAAAAGUAAGGUUGCUUACCAUUAGAGCAACUACAUAUAAAAAUAAUUCAUUCAAUAAUAUUGGAUCUUCUCUAUAUCCAGUUCAGCCUUAAUUACCCUGAUUUGGCUUAACAUUAACAAACUCUUAAUUGUACUAUUAAUAUGUCAUAAAAACACAUUAUGACAGCUGAUAAUAAUGGGAGAAAAAUUUACACAGAGAAUGAACAUAUGAAAACCGUGUAGCAAAUAAUCUUUUUUUACAAAAUAGAAGUGGUUACAUAGUGAUAUACUGAAUAGAAAUAAGAGAACUAAAGAAUAUCAUAUAAUUAACUCUAUCUGUUUAUGAAUAGUCUUUAUUCUCAUACAA